GAUGAACGCUAGCGGCAGGCCUAAUACAUGCAAGCCGAACGGCAAGUUUGAUAGCAAUAUUGGACCUAGAGUGGCGCAAGGGUGCGUAACACGUAUGCAACCUGCCCGCGACAGGAGGAUAGCUCCCCGAAAGGGGAAUUAACCCUCCAUAACACCAUGAGAAGGCAUCUGAUUAUGGUUAAACCGCAAGGGGUCGCGGAUGGGCAUGCGGUUGAUUAGCUAGUUGGCGGGGUAAAGGCCCACCAAGGCGGUGAUCAAUAGGGGUUCUGAGAGGAAGGUCCCCCACACUGGAACUGAGAUACGGGCCAGAAUCCUACGGGAGGCAGCAGUAGGGAAUAUUGGACAAUGGUUGCAAGACUGAUCCAGCCAUGCCGCGUGCAGGAAGAAGGCCUUCUGGGUCGUAAACUGCUUUUUCCUGUGGAUAAAAUACCCGUGCGCGGGGAAUUGAAGGUAACAGGGGAAUAAGCCACGGCUAACUACGUG
rnacentral:rRNA from 1 species